ACUUGCCUUUGCGGGGGGGAUAACUAUUGGAAACGAUAGCUAAUACCGCAUAAUGUUUUCGAACCAAAGUGGGCUUAGGCUCACGCGCAAAGAGAGGCCCAAGUGAGAUUAGCUAGUUGGUAGGGUAAAGGCUUACCAAGGCGACGAUCUCUAGCUGUUCUGAGAGGAAGAUCAGCCACACUGGGACUGAGACACGGCCCAGACUCCUACGGGAGGCAGCAGUGGGGAAUAUUGCACAAUGGGGGGAACCCUGAUGCAGCCAUGCCGCGUGUGUGAAGAAGGCCUUCGGGUUGUAAAGCACUUUCAGUGGUGAGGAAAAGUUAGUAGUUAAUACCUGCUAUCCGUGACGUUAACCACAGAAGAAGCACCGGCUAACUCCGUGCCAGCAGCCGCGGUAAUACGGAGGGUGCGAGCGUUAAUCGGAAUUACUGGGCGUAAAGCGCACGCAGGCGGUUUGUUAAGCUAGAUGUGAAAGCCCCGCGCUUAACGUGGGAUGGUCAUUUAGAACUGGCAGACCAGAGUCUUGGAGAGGGGAGUGGAAUUUCUGGUGUAGCGGUGAAAUGCGUAGGGAUCAGAAGGAACAUCAAUGGCGAAGGCAGCUCUCUGGCCAAAGACUGACGCUCAUGUGCGAAAGUGUGUGUAGCGAACAGGAUUAGAUACCCUGGUAGUCCACACCGCAAACGCUGUCUACUAGCUGUAUGUGUAUUUAAUACGUGUGUAGCGAAGCUAACGCGCUAAGUAGACCGCCUGGGGAGUACGGUCGCAAGAUUAAAACUCAAAUGAAUUGACGGGGGCCCGCACAAGCGGUGGAGCAUGUGGUUUAAUUCGAUGCAACGCGAAGAACCUUACCUACACUUGACAUUCAGCGAACUUAGCAGAGAUGCUUUGGUGCCUUCGGGAACGCUGGGACAGGUGC
rnacentral:rRNA from 1 species